UACGUAGGGACCAAGCGUUGUUCGGAUUUACUGGGCGUAAAGGGCGCGUAGGCGGCAAUUCAAGUCAGCUGUGAAAUCUCCGAGCUUAACUCGGAACGGUCAGCUGAUACUGUUUUGCUAGAGUACAGAAGGGGCAAUCGGAAUUCUUGGUGUAGCGGUGAAAUGCGUAGAUAUCAAGAGGAACACCUGAGGUGAAGACGGGUUGCUGGGCUGAUACUGACGCUGAGGUGCGAAAGCUAGGGUAGCAAACGGG
rnacentral:rRNA from 1 species